GUAUACAGGUGGUGCAUGGUUGUCGUCAGCUCGUGUCGUGAGAUGUUGGGUUAAGUCCCGCAACGAGCUCAACCCUUGUUCUGUGUUGCCAGCAUGCCUUUCGGGGUGAUGGGGACUCACAGGCGACUGCCGGGGUCAACUCGGAGGAGGGUGCGGACGACGUCAAAUCAUCAUGCGCCUUACGUCAUUGGCUGCACACGUGCUAAAAUGGUCGGUACAAAGGGGUGCGAUGCCGUGAGGCGGAGCGACUCCGAAAAAGCCGGCUUCAGUUCGGAUUGCGAUCUGCAACACGACCCCAUGAAGUUGGAGUUGCAAGUAAUCGC
rnacentral:rRNA from 1 species